GAUGAACGCUGGCGGCGUGCUUAACACAUGCAAGUCGAACGGGAAACCUUUUAUUGAAGCUUCGGCAGAUUUAACUGGUUUCUAGUGGCGGACGGGUGAGUAACGCGUGGGUAACCUGCCUUGUACAGGGGGAUAACAGUCAGAAAUGACUGCUAAUACCGCAUAAGCGCACAGGACCGCAUGGUCCGGUGUGAAAAACUCCGGUGGUAUAAGAUGGACCCGCGUUGGAUUAGCUAGUUGGCAGGGUAACGGCCUACCAAGGCAACGAUCCAUAGCCGGCCUGAGAGGGUGAACGGCCACAUUGGGACUGAGACACGGCCCAGACUCCUACGGGAGGCAGCAGUGGGGAAUAUUGCACAAUGGGGGAAACCCUGAUGCAGCGACGCCGCGUGAAGGAAGAAGUAUCUCGGUAUGUAAACUUCUAUCAGCAGGGAAGAAAAUGACGGUAC
rnacentral:rRNA from 1 species